ACCAUUUCCAAACACUGAAACCUCUCGACUGAAACCUCUCGAUUCUCACAAUUCUACCGCCCUCUCCUUCUCCACCGUUGUCGUUCCCUUUCACCAUAACCACCGUUCCUAGAUCCUCCUACUGAGUCGCCGGAGUCUCGAUCUGCAUCCACGGUAUGCGGUGGUGAAUGGGUUUCCCUUCGCGUGUCUGCCGCCUUCUUCCUCUCCACCGCUCGUCGCUCGCAAACCGUCAUCCUCCAUCGCCAGUUAACGAAAACGAAAAGGGGCAGAAAAGGGGCAAGAGCAACACAACAAACAACAAGAGAUCCUUCUGUUGCCAGAACCAGAACACCAAGCCAAGAGGAACCAACAAGAUGAGAAUCCUUGAAUGUCAGCAAUAAAACAGAGGAACCAGAACAACUUUUAAUAUCAAGACAGAAAAGAGUUGGAGCAUUUUCAAGCUCUUGCUAAAGCUCAAUAUCCAAAGACUCUAGGGUAUGCCCCUCCAACAUAUCAGGAUUCCAACCUUGAGAAGUAUUCAUGAUACGUAACAUCGCCAGUCUUGUACCUGUGAUGAAGAAUGGAUCAUCAGAGUGUAAUGCUGCUCAUGAGUUUGCAGUAACUACUCUUGAGAUAGGUACUUAUUUAUGAAAAUACAUCAUAUUACUAAAUAGGUUCCUUAGCCCACUUUGUAGUCCCUUAUGUAACUUUUGCAGGCCUUAGUCUCUAUCAUCUUGGUUUCCCAAAGGUAUAAAGCAUCUAUCAUCUUGUACCUUUCUCUAAGUUUAGGAAUUGAGAAUGGGAAUAUGUGAUUUCUUUCCCUUUAUUUUGGCCAAUUACUGUUGCAGCUGAUAAAAUGUGUUGAGGUUAGGCUUCCUGCAGCACAGAUUGUUAUGGUUUUCAUCUCAUAGGCAAGUAGUGAAUCUAUCUAGCUCUAGCUAUUUGUUAUCCCUCUCCUUUAUGCUGUUGGUACUAAACUAAUUAGAGCCAACCAAUUAAGAAUUAUUUUAAAGUUCUCUAUAACAAGUUAGCAGCAAGUCUUAUAAUGCAUGUUUUUGCAAUUUACUUGCUUAUUGAUGAAUGCUUUGAUUUAAGCUUGAAUAUGCAUGAAAAUUGAGGAUUCAUUUACUGAAUUGCUUCUUAUUGGUUGUUUAUUGUGUUUGUGUUAGAAACAUGGAUGUGCCUGAAAAUAAGAAAUUGAUGGAUAAUAGAUUAUACUGUGAUACGCACGUGACAGUAGAAUUUCAAUAGGAAUUCAUGAAUCAGCGAGGGAAAAAUUCGAUCGCUAAAUUAGCGAGGGAUUUAGCGACGGAAUGGAAAUAAAAAGGUCAGAUAGUUAGUGAUGGAAUGUGAUCCUUUAGCGACGGAUUGUACCGUCGCAAAUAGCGACGGAAUAGGAACUAAUACGCUAAAUGAUUUAGCGACGGAAUUAUAUAAAUUAGCGACGGCCUAUUUCCGUCACUAUUAGCGACGGAAUUAAUUUUCCGUCGUUAAAUAUUCAGCGACGCCACUUUACACGGUGGAUGGCAUUCCGUUGCUAAUUUCGUCGGUAAAUGUUUAGCGAUGGAAUUUUCCUUAUUUAGCGACGGAUUUCUCCCCUUGCUAAUUUGCUCUUUUUUUAGUAGUGAUAUAUGAUAUUGUAUGGCGGUUCUCCAAAAGAGACCUAUGAAAUCUCAAAGAAAUAUUAUAGUUAAUAUUAAUGUCGUGGUAACUCACACUUGAGGGGGAGAAUGUUGAGAUUCAAGAGUGAUUUAGAGGAGUACUUUGAGCUCUCCAAUUUCCCCAACUAGUGAUAUCAAAAUAUGAAGAUAAAAUGAGAAAAUUUGAAAAUCCCUAAAGGAUGCAAAAUAAGAGAAAAUAUUAUUUGAAAUGUUGAACAUUAUUUUGAUUAGCGAAGUUGUUCAUAUGGAAGAAAUGAUUGUGAUUGACAUAUGACCGGUUAGACCAUCCCGAGUCUUAUGAUGCGAAAGUCUAUGUUGUUCUAAAAGCACAAAAUUAAAAUUGUGGCAAAAAUAAGGGGAAUUCCCUAUGAUUCUUGAAUAUAUUUGAUGUGAUACAUGUGCACAUAUUCAGUGUUUAUCGAUGCAUCGACCUUGAUAGAAUAAAAUUUCCAGCCUUGAUCAAGUUGGUAUGUGACAUGAUUUUGAAUGUCGAGUUGCACAUGUUCAUAUUUCAAAUGAUCUGGUAAAGAUAUUUAGCUAAAUGCUUCUUAUUUAUAGCUAGACAUUUAUUAAGAGAACCAAUGUCCUUAUUUUUUUGGACACGUGAUGUUGCUACAUCCAUAUGCAUCAAGUCAAUGAGUCAUUAUAAUUCUCUCCAUUGAAUUGGUUCAUUGUCAGGAACCUAGCAUCAUUCAUCUUAGAACUUUUUAUGUGAGAUAUAUGUUCUCAGUUGUCUAGCAAACAACACUUAGAUGAGAUUAAAAAAAAGCUGAGAUUAUGCUAUGAAUUUGAGUUAUUGCCAGAAGAUAUUGCAUGUCUUACUUAUCGUUAUUUCUCGGCAUUAUGGGGAGACAAAAACUAAGCAGCUCUGAAAAUGUGUGAAGAAUGCAUGUAUACACUCGCACACAAUAAUGCGUUCUCUGACCUAAAAUAGAUUUUUAAAUUCCUUUAUGUUGCAAAUGUCCUUCUCUAUUGAAAUUUUGUUCGGCUAAGGUAUGCCUCAACUUGGUUCCAAAGAUAAAUCUAAGAGAAGAAAGAUGGUCUUGUUAUGAGGAAUAUUAUCAAGAAAAAUGUAGAGAUUACGAAAAUUGUUUAAACCUCCUAAAGAGGUUCAGGUAGCUGUGAUUAUUGAUACAAAGAGAUCUCAAUCGAUUAUAUAUCUACAAGUUGAAAUAAUGAACCAAGAACUUGAAAAAUUGUAGACAGAUAAGUAGCGCUCAAUAUUAUAAGUGCGAGAAUAUUGAACCCAUAUUAAAGGGUGUGGUUGGCUAACAAAUAAAGAAGCAAUUCAUUUGCAAAAAUAUAAGAGUCUUUGGACUUAAAGUCUAUACCCCAAAGAGGUAAACAUAUAUUGCAUAGUUGUUUUGGUUCUGAAUUGAUCAUUGAUUGACAUAAUAGAACAUGUUUUUAAUUAGUUCUGGUUUUAUUGUCCAAAUCUAAAUAUGAGAAAUUCUACAUCAGAGAUUCAUCCAUCACA